CCCCUUUAUUACCUCUUUAAUAAUUGACUCCAGCACCUUUCCCACCACCAAAGUCAGGCUAACUGCUCUGUAAUUCCCCGUUUUCUCUCUCGCUCCUUUCUUGAAAAGUGGGAUAACAUUAGCUAUCCUCCAAUCCACAGGGACUGAUCCUGAAUCUAUUGAACAUUGGAAAAUUAUCACCAAUGUGUCCACUAUUUCUGGAGCCACCUCCCUGAGGACCCUGGGACUGACCAUUAGGUCCAGGGGAUUUAUCAUCCUUCAGUCCCAUUAGCCGACCCAAUACUAUUUCUUGCCUAAUGAAAAUUUCUUUCAGUUCCUCCACCCCCUUAGAUCCUCUGUCCUCCAGUACAUUUUGUGACCCAAAUUACGUAUCUACCUGUAUUUAUAACAUGUUCUGUAAAAAAUAUAUAUAUAAAUCAUUCCUGCAACUCGUCAAGAACAAAACCUGCACAUAUUUUUAAAAUAUCAGAGAAACCUUAAAGGAGGCCUAAAGAUUCUGAAUCCUUGGGGAAAAAAGUGACACAUCAGCUCUGCUUUGGAGAAGCACAGACUGAAUCUCAAUAGUUUGGAUAUAUCUAAUGUAAUUUAGUUUAAAAUAAGCAACAUAUCAUAAAAGUAAAAAAUUGGAAAAGUAAAUUUGCACUUAAUGAAUAACACAAGUUUUCCACCACUCCAAAGUUAAGAAUACAAUCUCCCUUGCAACAGAUUUCAUAGGCUAACGGCCAAAUUGAUUAGAAUCAAUUAUAUUUCAAAAACUGCAUUUAAUAUUUCAAACAGAUUUAAAUUACGUUGUGGAUUUUUUGUCAGAAGUCUAGGUGUCCAAUCCUCAUCUGACUCGCUGGAUUCGUAUACUUGGGCUUGACGCCUUCUGCUCCGAUUUGUCGUGAAUUCUGGCUUUGGUACGUCUAAUCCUGUGAAAAAUAAAACAUGCUCAUCAUCUGUUAUGGCCACAACUUCAGAUUUUCAGCAUCUGCGGUUCUUUGCUUUACACGUUGAUUUUGAUGUUGUGACCGGCCAACAACGAAUCAAAGGAGAUCAGAUACGUGGUGUCGUAAUCUACUGGGAUUCAAGUAACUAACUGUGGAAGUCAGAGCACCAGUUGUGACUGUGAGACGUGGUGUUGUGUUGGAAGCACACAGAUGGCCUGGGACGUUCAUUAGAUGCAUCAAGAAGUUGCUAUGGAGACGGUGCAGGACGUUCCCCCCGGUUACGGCAGGGUUCCCUUCCUGGGAACCGUUCCCAAGUGGAACAUGCAUCCGUGAACAGAGUUCCCACACGGCAGAAGAUGCCUGCAGCCCCGCAGCAGCCGGUAAAUCCAUCCCACCGUCUCCCAGACACUCGCUCAUGUGUACGGGCUGUACUUUACUGUGUCCGUAAGCUGGGGACAAUCUACACCUCAAACAAGUCAACUCGGGGCUGGACAACGAUUAAAGAUAAAGACGGAACAAAGAAAUAAUGACAGAAAAUGCUCAAAAUACUCAGCCGGUCGGGCAGCAUCUUGUGGAGAAAGAAACAGUUCAUGUUUCACGCUCCUGUAGAAACAGGCCCUUCAGCCCAACUUGUCCAUGCUGACCAAGAUGCCUCCUCUAAGCUGAUCCUAUUUGCCCACGUUUUGGCCCAAAGCCCU